CUGGAAACUCUUUGCUCAGCUCUGAAAUCAUACUAAAUUUGUCACGUCUUGUAGUUGUCACUUCCUAAUUGAUUUAUCACUAGCGAAAGUACAGAAACUAAAACAAAUAUCUUGUCAUUUCGAUAACACAGAUGUCAUCUGAACUGAUCCCGUUGGUCCCUGUCUCAUGUUGACUACCCUCGUUUCUAUUUUACUGUAAGGUUUUCAAUCCUGGUAUAUAUUAUAUUUAGGAUAUUUGAUUUGGAUAUGUUACUUUUUCAAAGGCAUAGCAUGAUAUCAUUAGGGCUCUUGAGUUCAGUGUUGUAGAUCAAACAAUUACGUGCCAACAGUUUAAUGGAUACCAGUACUUGUAACCUUUGGACAUCCCUUACUCUGUUUACUUUUUUACCGCCUUGCUUUUCAGGAGGAAGAAAUGGUUACAAUAUCCCUGCUAUGAAACGUUGUCCUGAAGCACUAGAAUGGCUCUCGAAAACUCCCAUGGAAAUAAUUGCAGCAAAGGAGAGAGGCGAGAUGCCUGUAAAAGUCCGUAGUCUGCUAGGAGAUGGAUAUCUCUGUAUGUACCAGAGAUUGGACAUGACAAUGUACAGUUAAACCUGGUGAAAUGCAACACAUUGGAAUCACGUUGAUACGUAGAUCAUGCGAGGACUAACCGCUUGUUUAACAGAAAGUCAAGUUAAUAGCUCUACACCGCAUGAAAUGCACGUGUAAAACACGUGUGGAACUGCCAGUCGUCUCUGUACAUAACAGUUUUGCGGGAGAAGUGUAGACCCCUGAACCAAAGAUAUAUUGCGAUCUCUCCUCAUCGAAUGAGUGAGGAUACGUAGAAGAGAAAAGGAUGAUAUUUCAAAGGAGGCGUCUUUAUUGGAUGUAGUACAUGGGCCAGGGUAGGUUAUUGGUACCACUCAUGGAGAGAAAGUGUGAGUGUUUUCUGAUAAAUGGUUAUGUAAAAGAACGACCAAAAAUCAACACGCGUGUUAUUUAUGUAUUUCAUUUAUUUAUUUCAAGAUUUGUACAUAUAGAAUAUAAUCGUUACAUUAGAAGUUGGAUUGCUUGUUCCAAAAUCGAAAUCUCAUCAUAUUUAUAACAUUAUUUACUACGGAAUGAAGGUAAAAAGAAGUAGAUAAAUGCAAAUAAAGAUAGAUAAAUGGAAAUUAAGGUGGAUGAACGCAUAUGAAUCUAGAUUAUAUUUUAAGGCAAGUGAAAGUAUAUGAAAGUGGAUGAAUGCAAAUAAAGGUAGAGAAGGCAGAUUAAAAGGAGAUUUAUGCACAUGAAAGUAAUUGAAUGCAAAUGAAAGUAAAUGUAGGUUAAUGAAGGUUUAUAGAGGUAAAGGAAGGUGAAUGUAUGUAUAAAUGAAGGAAAAUGAAUGUAUACUAAGGUAGACGAAGGCAAACGAAGGUGGAUAUAUGUAAAUGAAUGUAGAUGAAGGUAAAUGAAGUUAGGUGAAGGUGGAUGUGAGAUGCAUAUUUUCGCGCCAAAUGGAGGCUGUUGUGUUUAUCCUUCAAAUAUCUUUCAACGCGCGGGAAAUUGUUUUCAAAAAGCUUACCGUUCACGCUGUUGAAUUUUCACUUUUCAGUGUUCUUUGAUACCGUUUUAUGAACAAAACAACAUGUUCCUUCUUCUGUAACGAUCACACAACGCUUUCUUAUCUUGAAUUACACUUAUAAACGCAAAAUUUUUCGUAAUGAACGUAAGGUUUGAAAAUUGGGGAUUAUCACUUAAGGCGUAUCCUCGGAUAUCCCUCAGACUAGUUGGGGAUAUUUGGUCACGUGAUGAGUUUUGGCUUAUCGUGCGCAAGCGAAAAUAUUUGUUGGAUUUUGAGGGGGCAUAUAGAGGUCAGUGAAUACAUAAUCCUUAUACAACUACGUAAAUUAUGUGUAGUGGGACAUUUGGUGGGUAAAUACAUGAUUUCUUUUCAUAAGAUUCAGGAAGAUGGCGUUCCUCUCCCCACCCAACGCGGUCAGUGCAUGGUUUGUUUACAGUGAAGGUGAAAUGAUCGUUCCUGUGGCCUCAGCUCGAAAUGGAAGAACCCAAUAUUAAGUAUAUUCUUGUACGUGAUCGUUUCGGAUAUACAUUUGAAAAAAGCUGGCGCGGCCUUACGUCGAAGUCUAUACCAAUACAAUUGUUACGAGGCGAUUAGUUUGAACGUGAUUCCAAGGCUGAACAGCCUACAGACCUAACUAAAGUGGCUGUUGUUGGAACUGGACGUAAAUCAUCACGUAUUGAAUGUCGCACAGAGGAUCUGAUUGAUCUGGAGAACAAGCCAACUUGCAUUUGACCAUUUCUUCAUUUGAAGGAAGAUACCAAAUAUUUAUAAGUGGGAAACGUUUGGCAUUUGGAGGACGAUUGUCACCCAGAAGUGCAGUUUUCGUUGAAGUGAAAGAAAUAUUAAAGACUUUACCUGGUGUUGUCCGGCUCAAAGGUGAAUUACCACCCAAUCUGGGAACUUGGUUUGGAGUUGAGCUGCUUAAAUGAUUCACAGGUAACCUCUACCACUUAUAUUCUACAUUACCCAACAUGAGAAUACUACAACUUGUCUGGUAGAAGUUGUAUCGUAACCUAACGUCAAGUUCUCGAAAUGAGUAGCUGCUAGAGGGAAGAAUGACGAUCAGAUCUGGGGAUUUUAAGAUUUGAAAUCAUCUGUAUACCAUUGCAUUGCACAUUUUAAGGUCAGUUUGUAUUACCGUCGCAAUCGUAAUUACUGCAAUCAUAAUCAUAGUCAUGAGAAAAAUUAAAACCAGGCGUCUAUCAAAAAUCCCAGACGUAAUCUUAGUCGUAAGAGCGAGUUGCAAUCUCAGUCGUAAGGAUCAGAAUCCUUUGUUUUCCUUACGAUUACAAUUCUUAAAAUCUAAUGUGAACUACAUCAAAGAAAUCAAAAGCAUAAUUGCAGGAACGAACCAAUCACGUUUCUUGCCACAAGUGUUCCCCAUGAGGAUCAUGCAAACCGUUAUGGAGACCUUCAAAGACGAGUGUUUGGCGGAUGGCGUCAGAAAAUAUCCAGGUCUUUAAGAUGAAUCGUGGUGAGAUUUCAAAGAUGAAAAGAUAAAAAGACAAGCAUGGGAAUUUGUUGUCCUCUUUUCACUUAUAAGUCACCUUCAACUCCUUAUGAAAGUUCAAAGAAGCAAUAUAAUCAUAUGUUCAUGUUCGGGUGCCUUGUUGAUUCUUAAAAAAGGCCUGGGAACAAACAUGGAAGCUUUCUUCGCGCUUCGGUUUGUAGAUUAACACUAAGUCGUAACACUCUUGUGACUACUUUUACGAUUGUGGUUGCGACUACGACGAUCACGUCACUGGUGUGAAGAUAUGAAGCAGCCUUUCUAGCACUGAGAACCAAAUUCCUGAAUGAUGUUAUGGUAAGGUGCACUGCAAUUCACGAAUUUCUGAUCUGUCACUGGAAGAAUUCCCAUUAUGAAAGGUUGCCAAAAGUGAUGUGAAAUUAUGGGCGAAAUUGGAAUAGCAUUUAAAGUUAACCCUGUUGUUGUGACAUUUUGUAUAAAAGGUCUGUUGCAGGUAGAAGUAUUAGUAUAAAUGGUUUGCGACAAAUUAAUUGUCAAACAUUUUUUAAAUUGGAAGAUAUCUAGGGAUAAAUAUAUCAUUGUAAUGUAUAGAACAUAGCUUGAAGCAUUGUGGUGAGCAAAACACAGUGGAUUUAUUUUAUAUGUUUUUCUUACGUACUAGUAAGGAAUCUGUCAGGAAAUUAAGAAGAACAAAUGCAAUGACCUCUGCUGAAACAUAAAUCAUAAUGGGAGCUGGAGAAUCCAGCAAAAAACCGAUCUACAGGAAUUUAUAGAGAAACAACGCCUGAUGCUUAGAGAGUUUGAGGGUAAAGGUGUGCCUGAUCACCAAGAUAACUGAGUCAUCAUCCAAGAUGAGGAAGGGAAGGACAGUGCCGAAAAUUCGUACUUCAAAGAAGAUCAUUUCCAAAGCAUUCCUCCAGAUGAUUGUGGUCAAACUGGAAUUAGCUGACGAAAACACUUGGAAAGCAACUACUGUCACGAGACAUGGGAAGUCAACUGCGUAGCUUGCGAAAGAAACCAAGGGAAAAUAGCGAACGAUCAAAGAGUUUACUCGAGCCAUUGAGAGAGAUGGAGCAGCAGGUGACACAACUCCAAGCACAACAGGAAGAGAAACUUCGGAAAAAGGCAGCCUGCUAAGGGAAAAACAAGACAAAGAUAAUAGAUUACUGGGCCAGUUGCGGGUAAUGGAGGAACAAUUGACAAACACUCAAGGAUAGUUACAAGAGAAGCAUGAUCAGCUAGAGAACUCAGAAGCACAAGUGAGUAGGAUGGAGGAUCAGCUGACAAACGCUUAAGGACAGUUGCAAGAGAAGCAUGAUCAGUUAGAGAACUCAGAAGCACAAGUGAGUAGGAUGGAGGAUCAGCUGACAAACGUUCAAGGACAAUUGCAAGAGAACCAUGAUCAGUUAUAGAGCUCAGAAGCACAAGUCAGGAGGAUGGAGGAACAACUGACAAACUUACAAAGAGCAAUGACUGAGCAACUGGCCAAUAUUCAAGGGCAACUACAAGAAAAAGGUAGAGAAAUUGCUGGUUUACAAAAUCAGGUCAUUGAGCACGAUAUGAGUCUCUCAACUGCUCAACUGAAUUAGCGGUAAGUGAACGUCUACGACAAGAGUCACCGGACUGGAUCAUUUCAUGCGAUUGGAUUCAGGUAACAGAUAUAUGCCUCGGAAGGGAGGCUGGGGAAAUUUUGUGGAAGGAAAGUGUUGUGGGUGUGUCGUAGUUGUGAAACAAAUUCACGAGUUAAUUCUUUCUAACCACAACCAUAGUUUGUUUGAGCGAGAAAUGAACAUUGCCUCAAGAUGCCGUCAUCCAUGUUUGUUGUAGUUCAUUGGGGCAACAAAUGACGAGGGAAGUCCAUUGUUUGUUACAGAGCUCAUGGAAACGAGUUUACGAGCACUGUUAAAGCGACCACUUUCCGCCACUGAAGUGAGCGUUAUUUCCCUGGAUGUAGCUCGAGCACUAAACUACCUUCACCAGAAGCAACCACUUCCCAUCAUUCACCGGGACAUCAGUAGUGCAAAUGUGUUGCUGGGCGGCAGGGUGACCAAUGGCGAGCCAAGGCUUCAGUUUAUGGCACAGCCAAUUUUAUUCGACAUACCAUGACAGUUGCACCUGGAGCGCCAAUUUACAGUGCACCCGAAGCAGUCACUAAAAACCAAACCGUUAAGGUAUGUUUCCUUGAAUGUUUGUUUUUUUCUACAAUGACCCACUGUCAAUAGUGUCUAUCCACAAAUUUUAUUCACUUAACGCUAGAUUACAGUAU